rnacentral:rRNA from 1 species
UCCAGACUCCUACGGGAGGCAGCAGUGAGGAAUAUUGGUCAAUGGGCGCGAGCCUGAACCAGCCAAGUAGUGUGAAGGAUGACUGCCCUACGGGUUGUAAACUUCUUUUAUAAAGGAAUAAAGUGAGGCACGUGUGCCUUUUUGUAUGUACUUUAUGAAUAAGCAUCGGCUAACUCCGUGCCAGCAGCCGCGGUAAUACGGAGGAUGCGAGCGUUAUCCGGAUUUAUUGGGUUUAAAGGGUGCGUAGGCGGUAUUUUAAGUUAGUGGUAAAACGUCGGGGCUUCACCUUGAUUGGCCAUUAAAACUGGAGUACUAGAGUACAGACGAGGUAGGCGGAAUAAGUUAAGUAGCGGUGAAAUGCUUAGAUAUAACUUAGAACCCCGAUAGCGAAGGCAGCUUACCAGACUGUUACUGACGCUGAAGCACGAGAGCGUGGGUAGCGAACAGGAUUAGAUACCCGAGUA